rnacentral:rRNA from 1 species
GAUGAACGCUGGCGGCGUGCCUAAUACAUGCAAGUCGAGCGAACAGAUAAGGAGCUUGCUCCUUUGACGUUAGCGGCGGACGGGUGAGUAACACGUGGGUAACCUACCUAUAAGACUGGAAUAACUCCGGGAAACCGGGGCUAAUGCCGGAUAACAUUUAGAACCGCAUGGUUCUAAAGUGAAAGAUGGUUUGGCUAUCACUUAUAGAUGGACCCGCGCCGUAUUAGCUAGUUGGUAAGGUAACGGCUUACCAAGGCAACGAUACGUAGCCGACCUGAGAGGAUGAUCGGCCACACUGGAACUGAGACACGGUCCAGACUCCUACGGGAGGCAGCAGUAGGGAAUCUUCCGCAAUGGGCGAAAGCCUGACGGAGCAACGCCGCGUGAGUGAUGAAGGUCUUCGGAUCGUAAAACUCUGUUAUUAGGGAAGAACAAAUGUGUAAGUAACUGUGCACGUCUUGACGGUACCUAAUCAGAAAGCCACGGCUAACUACGUG